GUAGAUCUUACUGUUCAAAUAGAAAUGCGAGGAAUGAUUUGCAAUGAAAACUGUGUUCGUUUGACGUGAUUUGGAAGGAUGGAAUUAAGGUGAUUUGCGAGAUAUAUAACUUUUCAUGAUCUCUGCAUAAUGCGAGGAUUUGCGGUGAUUUAAAGUAAAAUCUCGUUUAUGCCCUCAAAUCUAUUCAAAUCAUCACCCCCCAAAUCAUCUCCCACAAAUCCUUACAUAAGAACAGAGCAUUAUAUACAACCCAUCAGAACCACCCAUCACCAUCUUUACCAACGACAUUUCUUCAUUUCUGGCUCCAACCCAUCAGAACCACCCAUCACCAUCUUUACCAGCGACAUUUCUUCAUUUUUGGCUCCAACUAUACGCAUGGCAUCUG
rnacentral:lncRNA from 1 species